GGGGGGGAGCAGGCUGGCGGGGGCUGCGGCAGACAGGCGUGGGAGCCAGCGCGGCGUCAAGUGCAGCUCGGACCCACGGACCGGGCCCAUUUACAUUUCACUCAUGAGGAAAUUGAACCAAAAGGAGCUUAAGCGUCUUGCCCUGUAUCCUGCAGCAAAUAAGUAGCAGUGUCCGAUUUUGCACCCCAGUCCGUUGUUCUGUUGAUGCCAGGUUUUUGCCCUGCUGUGCUGCCUGGAGAGCAUUUUAUUCUACAGCUUUGUCAAUGUUUGAAUGGAUCCAUGGCCCCAAAACAGUUAAGAACCACUCUGCAACAGUCUUUCUUCAUGACAUCUUCCUCCUUCAACUCCUGCUUGAGGAAGAAGUGUGAGAAAUGAAACACUAUUUGACCUCACCCCCACACCACAGCUCUGUGCCGCUGAUAUAGCUCUUUCAUUUCCUGGCUCAAGGAUAGGUUGCUAGGUUGCCCUUCUGUGAGCUCUUCAGGAGACUUCUCCUUUGCUGGCUUUGGCAUCACUGGCCCCAGAGAAGGAGCAGCUCCAUGGAAACGGCAUGCAGGGCUGUCCAGAGUGAAUGGGCCAUGAAGCCAGUGGGUAGAAAACCUGCUCCAUUUUCUUUGACUUCUGGUUCUUAGAGAGCAGGUAUUACUUCCCUUAUGUAGCCUGUGACCAGGAGGCCUUGAUGGGACUUGUUCUUGAUUCCUGAUGCUUGGAAAUAAAUGAGCAGUUUGAUGGUGUUCAA